UACGUAGGUGGCAAGCGUUGUCCGGAUUUACUGGGCGUAAAGAGCGCGCAGGCGGUCGUUCAAGUCGCGUGUGAAAGCCCCCCGGCUCAACUGGGGAGGGUCACGCGAUACUGAUCGACUCGAAGGCAGGAGAGGGAAGUGGAAAUUCCCGGUGUAGUGGUGAAAUGCGUAGAUAUCGGGAGGAACACCAGUGGCGAAGGCGACUUCCUGGCCUGUUCUUGACGCUGAGGCGCGAAAGCUAGGGGAGCAAACGGGG
rnacentral:rRNA from 1 species